rnacentral:rRNA from 1 species
CGGGACGGGUGAGUAAUGUCUGGGAAACUGCCUGAUGGAGGGGGGUAACUACUGGAAACGGUAGCUAAUACCGCAUAACGUCUUCGGACCAAAGUGGGGGACCUUCGGGCCUCACGCCAUCGGAUGUGCCCAGAUGGGAUUAGCUAGUAGGUGGGGUAAUGGCUCACCUAGGCGACGAUCCCUAGCUGGUCUGAGAGGAUGACCAACCACACUGGAACUGAGACACGGUCCAG